UCUAAUGCAGCUGCAGCUGCUCCCCCAUCUUGUCAUUCUACGGCUUGGGUUGCCAAAAACCCCAAAUUCAUUGCCUGCCUCACUUCUGUCUGUUCACCUUCAAAUCUGACUGAUGAUACACUUAUUUGUCUCUAAAAGCCAGUAAUCUGUUUUCCUUGACCUUAGCCCUUCUGAUGUCAUGGUGGUUCUUUGUUACCCAUGCAAAUAAGUCACUAGCCCACAUGUCCUGUCUCCUGGGUUUGUUUUUCUGAGGCAAACAUCAGGCUACAAGCCAGGGUACUUUGAGAAAAGGGGGGGAGGGAACCGUUGUUGUAGUCUGAGGCCAUCAAGCUAAUUCUUUGUCCCCAAGGAGGGCUUUUAAUGGCUGCUUUCAAACUGGAACAUUCUACUGAGAGAUGCUAGGCUGGUUGCUUCUCUGGUUACUUCAACCAACAGGGCAACCUACAGACCUUUUUGUUUGGACAGGCCUUUGGCAGACAAUUCCAAUGAAAUUUUACCUCUCCAUAUCUAUCCAAAUUUUCUGUUUUAUUUAACGUCCCACUGAUGGAAAUAUCAUCAAAGCCAGACAGAACUUUGUUCACGCUGUCUUCACCUACUCCUCUCGGUUUCUGUUUGGCGCGAAAGAUGUCUCCUUGGAUCCAUAACGUUGACUGCUUUCUGUUCAAGAAUUAAUAAUAAAGAGCUGCCAAUAAAAUCACUACUCCACUGAUCAGGAACCAUCCUUGUAAUGGAACCUCCACUCAACUAUUUGAAGUCACAGCUACCUCAAAGAACUUUAAAAUGCAUGCCAUACAUUUUCCUCUCUCAAAUACAUACUCCCUUCCAAGAAUAUUCUGUAGAAGGGAUUGCAAUCCACAAAAGAUAGUAUUAAAACAAAUCAGUCUAAAAAUGGGAUGUGCCUCUUUG